AGAGUUUGAUCCUGGCUCAGGAUGAACGCUAGCUACAGGCUUAACACAUGCAAGUCGAGGGGAAACGACAUCGAAAGCUUGCUUUUGAUGGGCGUCGACCGGCGCACGGGUGAGUAACGCGUAUCCAACCUGCCCACCACUUGGGGAUAACCUUGCGAAAGUAAGACUAAUACCCAAUGACGUCUCUAGAAGACAUCUGAAAGAGAUUAAAGAUUUAUCGGUGAUGGAUGGGGAUGCGUCUGAUUAGCUUGUUGGGCGGGGUAACGGCCCACCGAAGGCGACGAUCGAGGUAGGGGUUCUGAGAGGAAGGUCCCCCACAUUGGAACUGAGACGACGGUACCAAACUCCGUACGGGAGGCA
rnacentral:rRNA from 1 species